rnacentral:rRNA from 1 species
GACGAACGCUGGCGGCGUGCUUAACACAUGCAAGUCGAACGAGUGGCGAACGGGUGAGUAAUACGUGGGUAACCUGCCCUCUUUUUGGGAUAAACCUUGGAAACGGGGUCUAAUACCGAAUAAAGGGGGAUGGGCUCGCGGCCUAUCAGCUUGUUGGUGGGGUGAUGGCCUACCAAGGCGGUGACGGUGAGCCGGCCUGAGAGGGUGGACGGCAACAUUGGGACUGAGAUACUGCCCAGACUCCUACUGGAGGCAGCAGUGGGGAAUCUUCCGCAAUGGACGAAAGUCUGACGGAGCAACGCCGCGUGAGGGAUGACGGCCUUCGGGUUGUAAAGCUCUGUUAAUCGGGACGCGGUACCGGAAUAGAAAGCCACGGCUAACUACGUGCCAGCCGCCGCGGUAAUUC